rnacentral:rRNA from 1 species
GGGUUAGUAGGUCUGGUCAUGCCUCUGGUAUGUACUGAUCUCACUGAUUCCUCCCUCUUGACGAACUGUAAUGUCAUUAAUUUGGUGUUGCAGGAAAUCAGGACUGUUACUUUGAAAAAAUUAGAGUGUUUAAAGCAGGCUAAGGCUUGAAUACCAUUAGCAUGGAAUAAUGAAAUAGGACGUUUGAKCCUAUUUUGUUGGUUUCUAGGAUUGACGU